rnacentral:rRNA from 1 species
UACGUAGGGUGCAAGCGUUAAUCGGAAUUACUGGGCGUAAAGCGUGCGCAGGCGGUUUUGUAAGUCUGUCGUGAAAUCCCCGGGCUCAACCUGGGAAUUGCGAUGGAGACUGCAAGGCUUGAAUCUGGCAGAGGGGGGGUAGAAUUCCACGUGUAGCAGUGAAAUGCGUAGAGAUGUGGAGGAACACCGAUGGCGAAGGCAGCCCCCUGGGUCAAGAUUGACGCUCAUGCACGAAAGCGUGGGGAGCAAACAGG